CUAAAAUGCUUUUAUGUAUUGAUCUUAGGGAUUACUUCGAUUUUUAUAGGAUAUAUACGGGGCAUUAUUAAAGUCAGACUAGCAUUUAUGUGAAUCCACAUCUGACAAUGGUGAUCUCAUGCUAGUUAUGUUACUGCAGACAUUUUUACGUCAAAAGAUAAAUUUGUGCAUGGAUAAAGCUGGAAACAAGAGUUUAGACAGAAAGAUGGAUAGUGAACCACCAUCGGUUAUUAGUGUUGAGGAGUCUAUACUGCAUGAAAGCCAUUCUACCAAAUCUCAUGGUACUGCUAAGGCAGGCCAUUGUGGUACCAAACCUGCAAAUAGCAGUUCAAAGGUGAAUGAGAGUACUGCUAAUUCUAGUGUUCUUCGUUAUGCUCUACAUCUCUGGUUCUUGUGUCCCUACCCGAAGAAGAGCACAAAAUCAGGUAUUCAGUGCAAAGAUGAUCAGGCAAGACGAUUCUACUUGUAUAAUGAUAUGAGAGUAGUUUUCCCUCAACGACAUUCAGAUGC
rnacentral:misc_RNA from 1 species